AUUUUUGCGCAGAAGGUAUAUCGUAGUUUAUGAGAUCAAUCCGAGGCGCGAGCUUUGGUGGUUUAUAACUUUACCCAAUACCCCGCCUGGAUGAUUAGAAAAAUAGUCAUCUGUAGCAAUUUUUAAUAGUUUCUUACGAGA